GACGAACGCUGGCGGCGUGCUUAACACAUGCAAGUCGAACGGAGUGGCGAACGGGUGAGUAACACGUGGGUGACCUGCCCUGCACUUCGGGAUAAGCCUGGGAAACUGGGUCUAAUACCGGUUAGUGUGGGCUGGGCCCGGGGCCUAUCAGCUUGUUGGUGGGGUAUUGGCCUACCAAGGCGGCGACGGGUAGCCGGCCUGAGGGGGUGGACGGGCACAAUGUGACUGAGAGCCGGACCAGGGUCCAACGGGGGGCAGCGGGGGGGAAUAUUGCUCAAUGAGCGGAAGCCUAAGGCAGCGACGCCGCGUGGGGAAGGACGGCCUUCGGGUUGUAAACUCCUUUCUCCAUCGACGCGGUAGAUGGAGAAGAAGCACCGGCUAACUACGUGCCAGCAGCCGCGGUAAUAC
rnacentral:rRNA from 1 species